rnacentral:rRNA from 1 species
ACCACAACAGGUGGAGCCUGCGGUUUAAUCGGACUCAACGCCGGGAAACUCACCAGAUAAGACAGCUGAAUGAUAGUCGGGCUGAAGACUCUACUUGACUAGCUGAGAGGAGGUGCAUGGCCGUCGUCAGUUCGUACUGUGAAGCAUCCUGUUAAGUCAGGCAACGAGCGAGACCCACGCCAACAGUUGCCAGCUCGUCCUCCGGGAUGGUGGGGACACUGUUGGGACCGCCUCUGCUAAAGAGGAGGAAGGAAUGGGCAACGGUAGGUCAGCAUGCCCCGAAUUAUCCGGGCUACACGCGGGCUACAAUGGUCAGGACAAUGGGUAUCGACACCGAGAGGUGGAGGCAAUCUCCUAAACCUGUCCUUAGUUCGGAUUGUGGGCUGCAACUCGCCCACAUGAAGCUGGAAUCCGUAGUAAUCGCGUUUCAAAAUAGCGCGGUGAAUAUGUCCCUGCUCCUU